rnacentral:rRNA from 1 species
GACAGAGGGUGCAAACGUUGUUCGGAAUUACUGGGCGUAAAGCGUGUGUAGGCGGCUUCGUAAGUCGGAUGUGAAAGCCCUGGGCUCAACCCAGGAAGUGCACUCGAUACUGCGGAGCUUGAGUCUCGGAGAGGUUGGUGGAAUUCUCGGUGUAGAGGUGAAAUUCGUAGAUAUCGAGAGGAACACCGGUGGCGAAAGCGGCUCACUGGACCACAACUGACGCUGAUGCGCGAAAGCUAGGGGAGCAAACAGG